rnacentral:rRNA from 1 species
GAUGAACGCUGGCGGCGUGCCUAAUACAUGCAAGUCGAGCGAACGGACGAGAAGCUUGCUUCUCUGAUGUUAGCGGCGGACGUGUGAGUAACACGUGGAUAACCUACCUAUAAGACUGGGAUAACUUCGGGAAACCGGAGCUAAUACCGGAUAAUAUUUUGAACCGCAUGGUUCAAAAGUGAAAGACGGUCUUUCUGUCACUUAUAGAUGGAUCCGCGCUGCAUUAGCUAGUUGGUAAGGUAACGGCUUACCAAGGCAACGAUGCAUAGCCGACCUGAGAGGGUGAUCGGCCACACUGGAACUGAGACACGGUCCAGACUCCUACGGGAGGCAGCAGUAGGGGAUCUUCCGCAAUGGGCGAAAGCCUGACGGAGCAACGCCGCGUGAGUGAUGAAGGUCUUCGGAUCGUAAAACUCUGUUAUUAGGGAAGAACAUAUGUGUAAGUAACUGUGCACAUCUUGACGGUACCUAAUCAGAAAGCCACGGCUAACUACGUG